AAUUAUGCCCGUAUGAUACUACGUUUUUUUCUUGUAUUUCGAGUGUAUUUUACGCUGUGUUUUGAAAGAAAGAGAAGGUCACAUACAAUUUCAGUACUUGUGUAAGCGAGUAAGCUAUAUACCAAAAAACAAACGAAAAACUAACGAAAAACAAACUAGGUUGUUAAAAACAGUCCGGCCAACUUGUAUUUCGUUAGGUUUUUUUGACAGAUGGCUGUAUUUCGUUAGUUUUUUUACACAGCUGUUUGCAUUUUGACAUACGAGAGAUUUUCUAAGCAUACAAUGGAAAUACAAGUUUUAUCUAUUGCAACAAAUUGUUUGCUAAACGCUGCUGCCUUAAUACAGCGUAGGAAAAAGAAAAAGACUAAAAAAAAAUAUUCUGCGCAAUGGCUUUUAAAAAGAGAACUGGAAGGAUUUAGCCAUAAACUGUUAAAGGAAAUUGAGUGCGAGGAUUCAAUCCUUCACAAAAAUAUCUUAAGAAUGACUCCAGCUCAGUUUGCAUUCUUAUUAGAAAAAGUACGCCCCUAUAUUAGCAAGCAGUAUACAAAAUUCAGGAACUGCAUAGGAGCUGCGGAACGGCUGCAGCUGACAUUGCGAUAUCUAUCCACUGGUAAGAUAUAAUAUUUUCUUGGUAAUUUUUAGUACCGACAGACAUAGUAUGUACAUAUUUCCAAAAUUAGGUGAAACCCAAAGGUCACUUCAAUUGCCGGUCCGAAUUCAGCAGUCAACCAUUUCCAGAAUUUUAAAGGAAUCAAUUCCCGCAAUAUAUUUGGCGUUAAGGGAUGAGUAUUUGAAAUUCCCUGCAAGUGAGCAAGAUUGGCGUGAUAUUGCAAAAGACUUUUAUCAGAUGUGGGGAUUCCCGAACUGCAUCGGCGCUUUAGAUGGUAAACUAACAAUUAACACUUUUAAAUUCACUCAACUGAUGAAACGUCUCAGGAAAGCAUUGCAGAAUACUGCCAGUGAGGUAAGCAGGAUCUACGUAUUUCAAUUACAAAGGAUACCAUUCAUUUGUAUUGAUGGCAAUCGCUGAUGCCCACUAUCGUUUUAUUUACGCUGAUGUCGGUGUUAAUGGGAGAGUGGGUGAUGCUGGAAUUUGGUUGAACUCGGACCUGAAAUACGCUAUUGAAAAAAAUGAAGUACAUAUACCAGCCCCAUGCACGCUCCCUUUCAUGUCAACUCCCUCGCCUUUUGUGCUUUUAGCCGAUGAUGCCUUUGCUCUAAAAUACUACUUAAUGAAACCUGACUCUCAUCUAAGACUAUCACCAAGCGAACUUUAAUACAACAACAUACUUUCGUUGAAAAUGCUUUUGGCAUACUUGCGAACCGUUUUCGAGUUUUAUUUUCACCCAUUCAUCGCGCUCCAGCUGCAGCCAUUCAGAUUGUAUUAUCUUGCGUAUGUGUGCACAACUUUCUAAGAACAGAAAAUGUGAAACUACGUUUGACGCCAUUUCCGAAAGUGAAAUAGAUGCAAUAAUAGAUAACAACUAUACAACAACCGCUUCUGAAAGAAAUGCGUCAAAAAGGAGCGCUAAAGAAAUAAGAAAAACUUUCGAAAACUAUUUUUCUGCGGUAAAUUAAAAUAUCGUUUCAUUGUUUAAAUAAACCAAAACUUUUCGGGUUGGAAAUUUUCCAUACCAGUAGAAGCAACAAUUGGUUUAUUUGGUGAUUAAAUAAAUGAGUACAAUGUCUUCAAUUUAUGUACAUACCUACUAGCUAAUACCUGCCUACUUAGCGCAACCAAAUAUUUUAAUGAAAGUAAUAAUAAGGUAAAAAAGUGGUAAGAAUAAUCAAAAUACAUAUUCACUCGGCAAAAUAAUAACUCUGCCUCCUUUCAGUAAAGUUUGACUAUUUUCCUUUUAUUUAUUGAACUUUAAUAAUUUACUUAUAAAAAUAUACCCCAUUAAUUAAAAAUCUUUAAACUUGGCAAUAUGUGGUGCGUUUAUAAUUAUGACACGGGAUGUAUAGUUAACUCUACAAACAAAACCAUAUCAAUAAAACUUUUAAACUUUAAACGAAAUUCAGGAAAACUCAUCAAAAUUUCGAUUUUUUUCUUUUAAAUAUUAAAAAGAACAUUGCAUGUCUGUGUAGAUGUGUAAUUUUUAUGUAAUAAAUGGGAAAUUUCAAGUGGCUUAAGAUCACCGUUAAUUUUGGGUAUUGUUUUUUUUUUUUAAGCUGAGGGCGCC